UCAGCAGGGACGAAGCGGAAGUGACGGUACCUGCAGAAGAAGCACCGGCCAACUACGUGCCAGCAGCCGCGGUAAUACGUAGGGUGCAAGCGUUGUCCGGAAUUAUUGGGCGUAAAGAGCUCGUAGGCGGUUUGUUGCGUCGGCUGUGAAAUCCCGAGGCUCAACCUCGGGUCUGCAGUCGAUACGAGCAAACUAGAGUGUUGCAGGGGAGACUGGAAUUCCUGGUGUAGCGGUGAAAUGCGCAGAUAUCAGGAGGAACACCGGUGGCGAAGGCGGGUCUCUGGGCAACAACUGACGCUGAGGAGCGAAAGCGUGGGGAGCGAACAGGAUUAGAUACCCUGGUAGUCCACGCCGUAAACGUUGGGCGCUAGGUGUGGGGCUCAUUCCACGAGUUCCGUGCCGCAGCUAACGCAUUAAGCGCCCCGCCUGGGGAGUACGGCCGCAAGGCUAAAACUCAAAGGAAUUGACGGGGGCCCGCACAAGCGGCGGAGCAUGUUGCUUAAUUCGAUGCAACGCGAAGAACCUUACCUAGGCUUGACAUGCACGGAAAUCUCGCAGAGAUGUGGGGUCCGUAAGGGCCGUGCACAGGUGGUGCAUGGUUGUCGUCAGCUCGUGUCGUG
rnacentral:rRNA from 1 species